ensembl:lncRNA
GAGAAAACAUUCAUCUCAGCUCAUACACUUAGAUUGUGAGUCUCCACGGGACAAUGCUGUUGUAACAAAAAAGAGUUCAGAGCUCUCAAACUCUUGAGUUUACAGUGGGGGAAACCUUAAAUAGGAAUUACCUAGUAUUCUAGAUGAGUGUGGCACUAUUGAAAGGGAAACUCACUAGAAAGAUCCUUCCGGUUCAAUAGUUGCAAUGCACCUGAGUGACUGGAAGGGCUGGAGCCAGGAUCUACCCCUUUCCAGGACUCAUUUAAGGGAUGGCAGUGGAUGCAAAGGUAUCUUUCUGGAGAUCCCUGCAUAUGUGAGGCCUUCUGAAGGUUUCCAGAUGUCCUACAGCAUGACCCCUCAUCGCUGCUUCCUGGAACAGCAACAUGCUACAGAAAUUGGGAUACAAAUCCUUUUUCUGCCUCUAAUUUCUCACAUUAGUUUGACCAACCAAACUUGUUUUUGAUUUAAAGCUGUCAACAAGCUUUGUCUGUUAACAUUGACUGUGUGAGGAUCCAGAAGCUAUCAUCUAAAUUUUUAUAUAUUUAGCAUCAGGUCUUCUAACCAUGCUAAAAC